rnacentral:rRNA from 1 species
UACGGAGGGUGCAAGCGUUGUCCGGAAUCACUGGGCGUAAAGGGCGCGUAGGUGGUCUGCUAAGCGUGCGGUGAAAGCCUGGGGCUCAACCCCAGGUCUGCCGUGCGAACUGGUGGACUUGAGCACUGUAGAGGCAGGUGGAAUUCCGGGUGUAGCGGUGGAAUGCGUAGAGAUCCGGAAGAACACCGGUGGCGAAGGCGGCCUGCUGGGCAGUAGCUGACACUGAGGCGCGACAGCGUGGGGAGCAAACGGG